UGGGGAAUCUUCCGCAAUGGGCGAAAGCCUGACGGAGCAACGCCGCGUGAGUGAAGACGGCCUUCGGGUUGUAAAACUCUGUGAUUCGGGACGAAAGAUAAGUAGACGAAUAAUCUGCAUAAGUGACGGUACCGAAAAAGCAAGCCACGGCUAACUACGUGCCAGCAGCCGCGGUAAUACGUAGGUGGCAAGCGUUGUCCGGAAUUAUUGGGCGUAAAGCGCGCGCAGGCGGCUACUUAAGUCCAUCUUAAAAGUGCGGGGCUUAACCCCGUGAUGGGAUGGAAACUGAGAAGCUGGAGUGUCGGAGAGGAAAGUGGAAUUCCUAGUGUAGCGGUGAAAUGCGUAGAGAUUAGGAAGAACACCGAUGGCGAAGGCGACUUUCUGGACGACAACUGACGCUUAGGCGCGAAAGCGUGGGGAGCAAACAGG
rnacentral:rRNA from 1 species